GAGGCUGACCCCCACCGAUGGGACUGAGACACGGCCCAUACACCUACGGGUGGCUGCAGUCGAGAAUCUUCCACAAUGGACGAAAGUCUGAUGGAGCGACGCCGCGUGAUUGAUGAAGUCCUUCGGGACGUAAAGAUCUUUUAUGAGGGAAGAAGACGUAAGUUUGACGGUACCUCAUGAAUAAGGGGCUCCUAAUCUCGUGCCAGCAGGAGCGGUAAUACGAGAGCCUCGAGCGUUAUCCGGAAUUAUUGGGCGUAAAGGGUGUGUAGGUUGUGGUGUUAGUCUUUCGUUAAAUCCCAGAGCUCAACUUUGGAACCGCGAAGGAAACGGCACUACUUGAGAGUGUGAGAGGUCUAUGGAACUCAUGGUGUAGGGGUGAAAUCCGUUGAUAUCAUGGGGAACACCAAAAGCGAAGGCAGUACACUGGCGUAUUCCUGACACUGAAACACGAAAGCGUGGGUAGCGAAUGGGAUUAGAUACCCCAGUAGUCCACGCCCUAAACGAUCUUCACUAGCUUUUCGGAGUAUCGACCCUCUGAGAGGCGAAGCUAACGCGUUAAGUGAAGCGCCUGGGAAGUACGGCCGCAAGGCUAAAACUCAAAGGAAUAGACGGGGACUCGCACAAGCGGUGGAUUAUGUGGUUUAAUUCGAUGAUAAACGAAGAACCUUACCAAGGUUAGAAAUCAACUUGACCGCCCGGAGAAACUCGGGCCUUCGCAAGACAAGUUGACAGGUGAUGCAUGGCCGUCGUCAGUUCGUGGUUUGAAUUGUUCCCUUAAGUGGGGUAACGAACGCAACCCU
rnacentral:rRNA from 1 species